rnacentral:rRNA from 1 species
CAGAAGUGCGAAUGCUGACAUAAGUAACGAUAAAGCGGGUGAAAAGCCCGCUCGCCGGAAGACCAAGGGUUCCUGUCCAACGUUAAUCGGGGCAGGGUGAGUCGACCCCUAAGGCGAGGCCGAAAGGCGUAGUCGAUGGGAAACAGGUUAAUAUUCCUGUACUUGGUGUUACUGCGAAGGGGGGACGGAGAAGGCUAUGUUGGCCGGGCGACGGUUGUCCCGGUUUAAGCGUGUAGGCUGGUUUUCCAGGCAAAUCCGGAAAAUCAAGGCCGAGGCGUGAUGACGAGGCACUACGGUGCUGAAGCAACAAAUGCCCUGCUUCCAGGAAAAGCCUCUAAGCAUCAGGUAACAUCAAAUCGUACCCCAAACCGACACAGGUGGUCAGGUAGAGAAUACCAAGGCGCUUGAGAGAACUCGGGUGAAGGAACUAGGCAAAAUGGUGCCGUAACUUCGGGAGAAGGCACGCUGAUACGUAGGUGAAGCGACUUGCUCGUGGAGCUGAAAUCAGUCGAAGAUACCAGCUGGCUGCAACUGUUUAUUAAAAACACAGCACUGUGCAAACACGAAAGUGGACGUAUACGGUGUGACGCCUGCCCGGUGCCGGAAGGUUAAUUGAUGGGGUUAGCGCAAGCGAAGCUCUUGAUCGAAGCCCCGGUAAACGGCGGCCGUAACUAUAACGGUCCUAAGGUAGCGAAAUUCCUUGUCGGGUAAGUUCCGACCUGCACGAAUGGCGUAAUGAUGGCCAGGCUGUCUCCACCCGAGACUCAGUGAAAUUGAACUCGCUGUGAAGAUGCAGUGUACCCGCGGCAAGACGGAAAGACCCCGUGAACCUUUACUAUAGCUUGACACUGAACAUUGAGCCUUGAUGUGUAGGAUAGGUGGGAGGCUUUGAAGUGUGGACGCCAGUCUGCAUGGAGCCGACCUUGAAAUACCACCCUUUAAUGUUUGAUGUUCUAACGUGGACCCGUGAUCCGGGUUGCGGACAGUGUCUGGUGGGUAGUUUGACUGGGGCGGUCUCCUCCUAAAGAGUAACGGAGGAGCACGAAGGUUGGCUAAUCCUGGUCGGACAUCAGGAGGUUAGUGCAAUGGCAUAAGCCAGCUUGACUGCGAGCGUGACGGCGCGAGCAGGUGCGAAAGCAGGUCAUAGUGAUCCGGUGGUUCUGAAUGGAAGGGCCAUCGCUCAACGGAUAAAAGGUACUCCGGGGAUAACAGGCUGAUACCGCCCAAGAGUUCAUAUCGACGGCGGUGUUUGGCACCUCGAUGUCGGCUCAUCACAUCCUGGGGCUGAAGUAGGUCCCAAGGGUAUGGCUGUUCGCCAUUUAAAGUGGUACGCGAGCUGGGUUUAGAACGUCGUGAGACAGUUCGGUCCCUAUCUGCCGUGGGCGCUGGAGAACUGAGGGGGGCUGCUCCUAGUACGAGAGGACCGGAGUGGACGCAUCACUGGUGUUCGGGUUGUCAUGCCAAUGGCACUGCCCGGUAGCUAAAUGCGGAAGAGAUAAGUGCUGAAAGCAUCUAAGCACGAAACUUGCCCCGAGAUGAGUUCUCCCUGACCCUUUAAGGGUCCUGAAGGAACGUUGAAGACGACGACGUUGAUAGGCCGGGUGUGUAAGCGCAGCGAUGCGUUGAGCUAACCGGUACUAAUGAACCGUGAGGCUUAACCUUACAACGCCGAAG